rnacentral:ncRNA from 1 species
GAUGAUGCGAUGAGUAGGAGAGUAGCAAAAGCACAUAUACAAGGGAGAAGAUACCGUGACUGAGAGUAUCUUUAUAUCACUGCUUUUGUGAAAGACGCCUAUUAGCAUAUUGGUCGAUAUGUAGGCCAAAUACGUAGACCUGCGUUAAAGGAAAGAGUUGUAAUCAGGGUGGCACCACGGGAAAUUCUCUCGUCCCUGCA